rnacentral:misc_RNA from 1 species
UCUCCGUAGGUGAACCUGCGGAGGGAUCAUUACUGAGUGAGGGCCUUCUGGUCCGACCUCCAACCCCAUGUUAUCCGACACUGUUGCCUCCGGGGCGACCCGGCCUUCGGGCGUCGGGGCCCCGGGUGGACCAUUCAAACACUGCAUCUUUGCGUCUGAGUACACGAUUGAAUCAAUCAAAACUUUCAACAACGGAUCUCUUGGUUCUGGCAUCGAUGAAGAACGCAGC